rnacentral:rRNA from 1 species
UACAGAGGUCUCAAGCGUUGUUCGGAUUCAUUGGGCGUAAAGCGCUCGCAGGUGGUUCGUCGCGUCGUGCGUGAAAGACCCCGGCUCAACUGGGGGAGGUCGUGCGAUACGGGCGGACUGGAGGCCAGUAGGGGGAUGCGGAAUUCCGGGUGUAGUGGUGGAAUGCGUAGAGAUCCGGAGGAACACCAGCGGCGAAGGCGGCAUCCUGGACUGGUCCUGACACUCAGGAGCGAAAGCGUGGGGAGCGAUCCGG